AAUGAUUUGUUAACUUGUAACAAUGCCGCGAACUUAAUAUAGAAAAUGCAUAAAAAUUCAUGACUGAACCAAAAAUCUCGUGAUCAAUGUGUUAAAACCAAUAUCAGAUUUAUGUUGAAACCUUGAAACGUAAGCAAACAUAAUUAUAUUGAAAUUUCAUUUGGCAACACUGCAACUGUCAAUGUCAUCGAGUUUGAAAGAGUGGAACAGAAGGUCAGCAGUUAAAUGAAAGAUGUAAUUAUUUCAGCAAUGAACGGCCGUCAUAACAAUUGUUGACAAACGCAGGUACCAUUGCCUUUGUGGAAUAAUCAGUGUACUUGUAAAUGGGAAGACCAGCGUCGGUGAGCAGAUUCGAAGACUUUGUAUACAUUCAAAUUAACAGAAAAAUAACCAGGCGUAUUGUAGUAUUGGGUGCGUGCAUUCCAGAAAAGUGACUGCCAUCAUUAAAGUUCCACAAAUAUGCAAGCCGUUUACAAGCGAAAUAAGGAUCAGUAGUUCUCAUCAAGACUGUGAGGUUAGCAAAGCCCGGUGCAUCAAAAGAUACUUUAGUGUCAUUUUCAGAAACAUUUGACACUCCAUUCAAAGUAGAUACUUGCACAAUGGGCAUCAAAAGACAAUCUAAAAACAUAUAGAAGAAGGGAGGUGGAGAAACUUUUUAUGUCACAAAAUGUGAACUUAUUUGUAGCUCCUUCAUUCUUUGUUAUGGCCAAUCUACACAAUAUCUCUCCUAGUGUCUUUUAGAAAGGAAACAUUGAGCUAUAUUUUUUAAACUAUGAAAAUGCAUUUUACUGUCUAAUAGUUAAGAAUACUUAUAUAACAUAUUAAAAUGAAAUUAAUUAAAAAAUAAAUUUCAAUUGAAUCUUA